rnacentral:rRNA from 1 species
UACGGAGGGUGCAAGCGUUAUCCGGAUUUAUUGGGUUUAAAGGGUGCGUAGGCGGUAUAUUAAGUCAGUGGUGAAAUCCUGCAGCUUAACUGUAGCAUUGCCAUUGAAACUGAUGUACUUGAGUUAUCUUGAGGUAGGCGGAAUGUGUAGUGUAGCGGUGAAAUGCUUAGAUAUUACACAGAACACCGAUUGCGAAGGCAGCUUACUAAGGGUACACUGACGCUGAGGCACGAAAGCGUGGGGAUCGAACAGG